ACACUCACCUGGCAGGGGAGAUAUCCUGAUCCUGAAGGUGGCUUUUCCAGGGUGAGCCUCACCCAUUGCGCUCUGAGUCUGCUGACCCCUGUGGCUUCCCCAAAUGCAGGAAACUCAACUGCAUAAUCUGUGGUGUUGGGGACGGCAUUUGUGGUCACCCCUG